rnacentral:rRNA from 1 species
AUGAACUGUGAUGCCCAGCUUUUGGCAGAGGUUUUGCAUGGCUUUGGUGGCUCAGUCGCCAGCUUCCCCACAACCUACGGGUUGUCAAUCUCUCCUACAAGACUACGUCUGGUGCACUUUCAAUUCCUCAUCGAUCGAGUCAAAUCAUGCCUCGCGGGAUGGAAGGGCAAGCUGAUGACUUUGGCGGGCCGGCGCACUUUCGUGCGAGCGGUGCUCUUUGCCCUGCCAACUUUCGCGCUGGCAGUGCUCAAGGUGCCAAAGAGGGUACUGAAGGAAAUCGACAAGGCCCGGCGACGCUUCCUGUGGGCUCAGGACGAAGCGCUGACUGAUGGAAAGUGCAAAGUGGCGUGGAGCUCGGUCUGCUCACCGGUAGAAAAGGGCGGGCUGGGGAUACCUGAUCUGCAAUGGUUCAGUUCCGCCCUCAGACUACGCUGGCUUUGGCUGUCCUGGCAGCAGCCGGCGAGACCCUGCUUGGCUUUCCCGUUGCCAUGCGACAAGAUGGACAGAGAGAUGUUUGAGCAAGCCACGACGGUCCAGAUCGGCGAUGACUAG